rnacentral:rRNA from 1 species
AGAGUUUGAUCCUGGCUCAGGACGAACGCUGGCGGCGUGCUUAACACAUGCAAGUCGAACGGAAAGGCCCUGCUUGCAGGGUACUCGAGUGGCGAACGGGUGAGUAACACGUGGGUGAUCUGCCCUGCACUUCGGGAUAAGCCUGGGAAACUGGGUCUAAUACCGGAUAGGAGCCAUUUUUAGUGUGAUGGUUGGAAAGUUUUUUCGGUGUAGGAUGAGCUCGCGGCCUAUCAGCUUGUUGGUGGGGUAAUGGCCUACCAAGGCGGCGACGGGUAGCCGGCCUGAGAGGGUGGACGGCCACAUUGGGACUGAGAUACGGCCCAGACUCCUACGGGAGGCAGCAGUGGGGAAUAUUGCACAAUGGGCGCAAGCCUGAUGCAGCGACGCCGCGUGGGGGAUGACGGCCUUCGGGUUGUAAACUCCUUUCGCUAGGGACGAAGCUUUUUGUGACGGUACCUAGAUAAGAAGCACCGGCUAACUACGUGCCAGCAGCCGCGGUAAUACGUAGGGUGCGAGCGUUGUCCGGAAUUACUGGGCGUAAAGGGCUCGUAGGUGGUUUGUCGCGUCGUCUGUGAAAUUCCGGGGCUUAACUCCGGGCGUGCAGGCGAUACGGGCAUAACUUGAGUACUGUAGGGGUAACUGGAAUUCCUGGUGUAGCGGUGAAAUGCGCAGAUAUCAGGAGGAACACCGAUGGCGAAGGCAGGUUACUGGGCAGUUACUGACGCUGAGGAGCGAAAGCAUGGGUAGCGAACAGGAUUAGAUACCCUGGUAGUCCAUGCCGUAAACGGUGGGCGCUAGGUGUGAGGGUCUUUUCACGACUUUCGUGCCGUAGCUAACGCAUUAAGCGCCCCGCCUGGGGAGUACGGCCGCAAGGCUAAAACUCAAAGGAAUUGACGGG